rnacentral:tRNA from 1 species
UCUAUAUAGGCGGUUAGCGCAUUAGAUUUAGGGUUUAAAUAGGGUAUUGUACACCAUAUAGUA